CAACCGGUAGCGCCGAGCUCCAUCCAUCGGGCAGGGGUUAACGACGAACAACAAGGAUGGAGGCGGGGGACCCAACCGGUCCACCGAUUUAUUCAGGACCAGGAGCCGCUUGCGGCCCCUUGGGGUGAAGCCGUCGCCGUUUCGACGACGCCGGCCGGGUGACCUCUCCCACCCGAACCCGACAGCUGACCUCGUGGGCGCAUACGAGAGGACCU
rfam:Mycobacterium sp. VKM Ac-1817D, complete genome.